UGAAUACGAGACGCUAAGGCGUCGAAGUAGUGUAUAUCAGACUUCCAAGAAAAGCUUGCACUGUCAUAGAUAAAAAAUGCCUGUACCAUAACCGACACAGGUGGGUAGGUAGAGUAUACUAAGGGGCGCGAGAUAACUCUCUCUAAGGAACUCGGCAAAAUAACUCCGUAACUUCGGGAGAAGGAGUGCCUUAUUUAUAAGGUUGCAAUAACAAGAUCCAAGCAACUGUUUAUCAAAGACACAGGUCUCCGCUAAGUCGUAAGACGAUGUAUGGGGGCUGACGCCUGCCCAGUGCCAGAAGGUUAAAGAAGUUGGUUAGCAAUUGCGAAGCUGAUAACUGAAGCCCUGGUGAACGGCGGCCGUAACAAUAACGGUCCUAAGGUAGCGAAAUUCCUUGUCGGGUAAGUUCCGACCCGCACGAAAGGCGUAAUGAUUUGGAUACUGUCUCGGAGAGGGGCUCGGUGAAAUAGACUUGUCUGUGAAGAUGCGGACUACCUGCACCAGGACAGAAAGACCCUAUGAAGCUUUACUGUAACUUGAAAUUGAAAUUGGACUUUAUUCGCGCAGCAUAGGUGGGAGGCGUUGAUUAUAAUCUUGCGGGAUUAUUGGAGCCAUCAGUGAGAUACCACUCUUGUAAUGUUAGAUUUCUAACUUUGAAUCAUCAUCUGGUCAAAGAACAGUUUCAGGCGGGCAGUUUGACUGGGGCGGUCGCCUCCUAAAUGGUAACGGAGGCGUACAAAGGUUUCCUCUGAACGGUUAGAAAUCGUAUCUAGAGUGUAAAGGCAUAAGGAAGCUUGACUGUGAGACCUACAAGUCGAGCAGGGACGAAAGUCGGUCUUAGUGAUCUGACGGUACUGAGUGGAAAGGCCGUCACUCAACGGAUAAAAGUUACUCUAGGAUAACAGGCUGAUCUCCCCCAAGAGUUCACAUCGACGGGGAGGUUUGGCACCUCGAUGUCGGCUCAUCGCAUCCUGGGGCGGUAGUACGUCCCAAGGGUUGGGCUGUACGCCCAUGAAAGCGGUACGCGAGCUGGGUUCAGAACGUCGUGAGACAGUUCGGUCCAUAUCCGGUGUAGGCGUUAGAAUAUUGAGAGGAGCCUUCUUUAGUACGAGAGGACCGAGAAGGACAUACCUCUGGUGUACCAGUUAUCGUGCCAACGGUAAACGCUGGGUAGCUAUGUAUGGAGUGGAUAACCGCUGAAAGCAUCUAAGUGGGAAGCCCACCUCAAGAUAAGUAUUCUCAC
rnacentral:rRNA from 1 species